AGAUGGCGACCGGCGCACGGGUGAGUAACACGUAUCCAACCUGCCGAUAACUCGGGGAUAGCCUUUCGAAAGAAAGAUUAAUACCCGAUGGUAUAAUGAAACCGCAUGGUCUUAUUAUUAAAGAAUUUCGGUUAUCGAUGGGGAUGCGUUCCAUUAGGCAGUUGGUGAGGUAACGGCUCACCAAACCUUCGAUGGAUAGGGGUUCUGAGAGGAAGGUCCCCCACAUUGGAACUGAGACACGGUCCAA
rnacentral:rRNA from 1 species